AUUGAACGCUGGCGGCAUGCUUUACACAUGCAAGUCGAACGGCAGCGCGGGCUUCGGCCUGGCGGCGAGUGGCGAACGGGUGAGUAAUACAUCGGAACGUCCCCAGUAUUGGGGUAUGGCUCGGCGAAAGCCGGAUGAAUACCGCAUACGACCUGAGGCUGAAGGCGGGGGAGCUUCGGACCUCUCGCUAUUGGAGGGGCCGAUGGCAGAUUAGCUAGUUUGUGGGGUAAAGGCCUACCAAGGCGACGAUCUGUAGCUGGUCUGAGAGGACGACCAGCCACACUGGGACUGAGACACGGCCCAGACUCCUACGGGAGGCAGCAGUGGGGAAUUUUGGACAAUGGGCGAAAGCCUGAUCCAGCAAUGCCGCGUGUGUGAUGAAGGCCUUCGGGUUGUAAAGCACUUUUGGCGGGAACGAAAAGCACUGUGCCAAUACCACGGUUCGAUGACGGUACCCGCAGAAUAAGCACCGGCUAACUACGUG
rnacentral:rRNA from 1 species